ensembl:lncRNA novel transcript
GGCUUGGUGUCCUCCCUAUGGAACAAGCUCUGAAGUCUUGAUCCAAAACAGACAAGGCUUUAAUAUGAAAGCAUUUUUCUUUGAAGAAGUUCACCCUGAAGCCUUGGCCCAAUGAUCUCAGAAGAUGAGAGAGAAUGGCAAACCAAAAACUCUGAGUGAGUUUGAAAGUGGAUCUUCUGAAGCCUUCCAACAGUCAUGUGUGGAAUCUGGAAGUGCAUUUUUGAGGCUUUCCCAUAGCCAUCUGAGUGAGCUGUUCUGUUUCUCUGAAGAAGCCUAAUACGUCUUAUAAGAAGUGAAAAUUUGGACACACAAAGAAGCACCAGGAUUGCAUACUUACAGAGUAAAGACCAUGUGAGGACACAGAGAGGUGGUGGCUGUCUGCAAGCAGAGGAGAGAGGCUUCAGAGGAAAUCAACCCUGCUGGCACCUUGACCUUGGAUUUCUAGCAUUCAGGACUAUGAGAAAUGAAUUUCUGUUUUUUUAAGCCACCUAGUCUGUGGUACUUUUUGAUACAGUUCUAGCAAACUCAUACAAGUUUUGCUUAUUAAUAAAUUAUAUACUCAGAAGAAUAACUACAAAGAAUACAAAAACCUGAAGAAGGCCAAUGGCACGGUACUCCAAAAGCAAAAGCUAAAGUUCCAUGUUCUCCGAUUCAGGGAUAUAUAGGAGGACCAGCAGCUGGUAUCCAGGAAGCUGUCUGAUGACACAGAGGACUUUUCUAAUCUGCUGUUGAUUUCCUCCUUUAGUGGUGGCAAACAGAGAAAGAGGGGGCAACAUUUUUAUGUUAAAAUUCUAACCCACAAUGUGAUGGUAUUAGGAGAUAAGGCCUUUGGGAGACAAACGGGUGAAGAGGAUGAAGCCCUUAUUAAUAAGAUUAGUGCCUUUAUGAUAAGGGGCCCCAGAGAGAGCUUGCUUCCCCUCUCUGCUCUUACCACUAUGUGCAAAUAUAAUAAGAAGACAGGCUUCUGUAAACCAGAAAGAGUACCUUCAUUGGACACCAAAUCUUCCAGCACCUCGAUCCUGGACUUCUCAGACUCUAGAAUAAAGUGUGAAAUAAAUGUUUGUUGUUUGACCCAAUCUAUUGUAUAUUUCUUAGAGCAGCCCAAGCUGACUAAGACAACAACUGCAUUAGUCUGCUAGGGCUGUCGUAUAUAAUACCAUGGACUCUGUGGUUUAAACAACAGAAAUAUAACUUCUUACAGCUCUGGAGGAUAGGAAAUCCAAGAUCAAGGUGCCAGCAUGGUAGGUUUUAUUCUGAAGCCUCUUCUUUGGCUUGUAGGUCACUGCCAUUUCUUCAUGUGCUCCCAUGGCUUUUUUGUAUGUAUGUGUAUACUUCUCUCUCUGAUUCUUCUUAUUAGGCCACCAAUUCUAUUGGAUUAGGGUCCCAUGUUUAUGACCUCAUUUAACCUUAAUUACCUUCUUAGAAGUGCUAUAUUCAAACAAGUUGCAUUGGGUUUAAGGCUUCAGCAUCUGAAUUUUGGAGAAAAAAAAGUCAGUGCAUAGCACCAACUGAAAAACAUCUGAGACAUUUGUCAGUUAAUGCCUGCCCACCAUUUAUCAAUUGUUAUUGGAAGAUGGGCAUUUACUCCCCACACUUCCAAGUUUAGUUUCCCUGUGAGCAAGUUCCCGCAGCUAAAGAGAAGGCACCGAGAAAAAAAAUGGUACCCCUUAUCAAGAUAAUAUGGGGCACAAUAUCAGAGUAGGUUUGAGCUUUCAGGAGGCUGUAAACCACAUCACAAUUGAAAUCAGAGAUGAGCUGAUGGGGUAUGCCAGGUGGCACAAAAAAUAUUAUGAUCAUUAUAUUAUGGACCUCAUAUGUUUGGAAAGGUGGCAGCUGUUUUUCAGUUCAUGUGGGCCCAAUAGAAGUAGGCUUUUCAUAAACGGAACAUGGAUUUAUCUGGAAUCUUUGAGCGCAGGCCAUGAUAGAUUUGUUGGAGACUUCAAAAC